GGGCUCUUGGCGCAACGGUAGCGCGCUUGCAUGGCAUGCAAGAGGUUGCGGGUUCAAAUCCCGCAGAGUCCA
rnacentral:tRNA from 1 species